AUGCGUUUCUUCACCGUUCCUCCAGUCGUGCUGCAGCUGUUCGUGCUGCUCAUCUUGGCCUCUCCUGCCACCGCAUGCACCGAGCAGGAGAAGCGCAACCUCCUCGGUUUCCUUGCCGGGCUGUCGCAAGAUGGCGGCCUCGCCACGUCGUGGUGUGACAAUGGCAUGGACUGCUGCGAGUGGGAAGGCAUCACCUGCAACGGAGACGGGGCCGUUACUGAGGUUUCCCUGGCAUCUAGAGGACUUGAAGGGCGCAUCUUGCCAUCCCUUGCCGACCUCGCCAGCCUGCAGCGUGUCAACCUCUCGUACAACUCCUUCUCUGGUGGCCUUCCUCUGGAGCUCAUGUCCUCUGGAAGCAUCAUCAUCCUCGACGUCAGCUUCAGCCAGCUCAACGGACCGCUGCCCGAGCUGCCAUCUUUGGUUACCGCCGACAGGCCUCUGCAGGUACUCAACAUCUCAAGCAACCAAUUCAGCUCAGAAUUUCCAUCAGCCAUAUGGAAGAUGACGAAGAAUCUGAUCGCGCUCAACGCCAGCAAUAACAGCUUCACUGGGCACAUACCGUCUUCUCUUUGCCUUGGGUCGCCAUCUUUGGCUUUGCUUGAUCUCUGUUACAACCGAUUGAGUGGUGAUAUUCCCACCACACUCGGUGAUUGCUCCAAGCUCAAAGUUCUCAAGGUUGGCCAUAACAACCUAAGUGGAACUCUCCCUGUUGAAACCUUCCGUGCUACCUCGCUAGAGUACCUCUCCUUACCCGACAAUGGUUUACAAGGAGAACUUGAUGGAGCACACAUGAUCAAACUCAGUAAUCUGCUUACUCUUGACCUUGGAGGGAACCAUUUCGGUGGCAACAUCCCAGAGUCCAUAGGUCAGCUCAGGAGUCUGGAGGAGCUCCAUUUGGGUAGCAAUAACAUGUCUGGGGAGCUGCCAUCAACUAUGGGGAACUGCACAAAUCUCAAAACCAUUGAUCUGAAGUUCAACAACUUCAGUGGAGACCUAGGCAAGGUAAAGUUCGCCACCCUACAGAAUCUAAAAAGUUUAGAUCUCAUGAGUAAUAAUCUCAGUGGCAUGCUUCCAGAAAGUAUUUAUUCAUGCAGAAAUUUGACUGCACUGCGGCUGUCGUACAACAAUUUCCAUGGUGAGAUAUCCCUGAGAAUAGGUAAUCUGAAGCACUUGUCCUUCCUAUCACUUGUUAGAAAUUCCUUUACGAACAUCACAAAAACUUUGCAUGGGCUUAAGAGCUGUAAGAACAUCAGCGUCCUGCUUAUUGGAAAAACCUUCAUGAAUGAGGUCAUGCCACAAGAUGAAACCAUUCACGGUUUCCAGAAUCUUCAACAUCUCGCCAUACACCAGUGUUCGUUGACUGGAAGGAUACCUAUUUGGUUAUCAAAGCUCACAAAUCUGAAGAUGCUAGACUUAUACAGCAAUCAACUCACAGGACCAAUGCCAAGCUGGAUCAACUCCCUAAACCACCUCUUUCGGCUGGAUGUAUCUAACAACAGUCUUACUGGGGAAAUCCCAAUCACCUUGAUGCAGAUGCCAAUGUUUAAAUCAGAUAAGGCAGCCAUCUAUUCGGACCCAAGCCUCCUUGACCUUGAUCUAAUUAUUUAUGUUGCGGAAUCAUCAACAGUUCAAUACCGGAUUGACAGUGCUUGGGCCAAAGUGCUGAAUCUCGGCAAGAAUAAAUUCACAGGUGUGAUUCCACAAGAGAUUGGUCAGCUGAAAGCACUCCUUUUCCUGGACUUGAGUUCCAACAACUUUUAUGGAGUGAUCCCACAAUCAAUCUGCGACCUCACGAACCUCCAGCAACUAGAUCUGUCUAAUAACCAUCUGACGGGUGAAAUUCCUGCAGCAUUGGAGAUCCUUCGCUUCCUUUCACAAUUCAACAUUUCCUACAACGACCUAGAAGGACCUAUUCCAACAACAGGCCAGCUGAGCACGUUUCAGACUUCUAGUUUUGACGGGAACCCAAAGCUGUGUGGCUCUCUGCUUAUUAGAGAUUGCAGUUCAGUCGAAGAAGCUCCCGUGCACAUCAUCUCUGCAAAAGAAUGCAGCACUAAGGUCAUCUUUGCCAUUGCCUUUGGUUUGUUCUUUGGGGUAGGAGUGCUAUAUGACCAGUUAGUAUUAUUCAGAUAUUUUGGCUAA
rnacentral:rRNA from 1 species